CUACUAUGUUCUUACAAGAUAUCUCUCUCUCGUUCUCUCUUCAACACUAUUUUUCUUUCCAACCAAUUCUCUUUCUUUCUUUCUUUCUUUCUUUAUUUCUACUUUCUAACGAUCUUUCUUUCGAAUAUCGCGGUUUUCCAAGCUCGUUUCACGCUAGUUUUCGUUCGGUCGAUUAAUUGUGUCGUUGGUUAUCAACGGUAGAAGAAAUUUUUCAAAAGAAACGUUAAACUUUUUAUUUCCUUCGAAUCAGUCGUAAGGAAUGGUGAAUAAAUUUAGGAUCGCACGAAGUUUAUAGAAUCUGCGAGGGGGUGGGGAAAUUGAAUAAAUAAAUGUAUAAGUUAUAGAACGAAUUUCCUUUAUCCUGUAUCCCACCCACCCCCCUUUUUUAUUUUUUUUAUUUUUUUUUUUUUCUUUUUUUUUUACUUUCUCUUAUUAUAAUUUUCCCAAGCUAUAUCGAUUAAUUAUAAAUUCUAUUUAUCUUUAUCGAUAAGGGGACCAUCCUUCGAGAUUUCAAUUAACCUAUUUUAAUUAAUUAUUCGUCCUUUUUUCCAUUCUAUUCUUUUCUUUACCUCUCUUUUUUUCUUCUUCUUCCUUUUUUCCUUUUCCUUUCUUAAACUCGAUGGUAUCUCUCGUUUGCGAAAGUUCCAAGGAUAUAAUGAAGCUCGAGUAAAAAAAAAAAAAAAGUAAAAAAGAAAAAAAAAGAAGAAGAAUUUAUCUAUUAUGGGAACGGUGACAAAUGGAAAGGAUGGAGGAACGCCGAAAAAAAGGAAAUAAAAAUGAAAAAAAAAAAAAAAAAUUUUGUAAAAAAGAAGAAUCGAAAGAAAGGAAGAAGAAGAGGAAGAAGAUGAAGAAGAGGAAAGAGAACAGGAGAUAAGAACAGAUGGAACGACGCGAAAACACUGAUGAGAUUAAAAACGCCUUUUUACUUGACGUAUGCUCGAUUCAAUGUUAGAACUUAACGAUCGAUCAUUUCUAUGCAUUAUCAUUUUCUUGAAUCGAGUUUAGACCCUUGAAAAAGAGAGGAAUAUAAAGGAAAAAAGAAAAGAGAGACAGAGAGAGAGAGAGAGAGAGAAUGAAAAACAGGAAUGAAAAAAUGGAGACAGAGAAAUCCAUCUUCUUGCAGUGUCUGACAUGAACGAAAUGCAUUCUUGCAAUUGAACUCAUCCCCUUUUCUUUCGUUGUUUCUCUUUCUAUCAUAAUCAUGUUUAUGAAUGAAAUAUAUAUACAUAUAUAUAUAUAUAUAUAUAUAUAUAUAUAUAUAUAUGUAUAAAUACAUAACGAAAAUGAGGUAAAUGUUCAGUUCAUAUUAAUAAAUUGAUAUAUAGAGAUUGAUUCAUCAAUGAUAUUAAUAUUAAAAUAAUCCUUGUACGUGGAAUUUAUAUAAUAUUGAUAACACACUCGAAUAUUAUAGAAUAAAUUUACAAAUUUGUUUUUUCUUUUUUAUAUCGACUUAUUGUUGGACGUGUACGUAGAUAGUUAUGAUUGGAGUUACUCGUAUUAUGCAAAUUACUUGUACUAUGGGGGAAAAUUCUAACGCGAUUGGGGGAAAAUAAAAUCGAAAAGCCAUUACGAUUUCAUCGAUAACGGUCGAGAUUUCUUCCUUUUCCCACUUUCGUAUCGAUAGAAAAUAAGGAAGGAUAAAGAAAAUAGGGAACGAAAAUAGCUAUUUUAUGGCAUCGAAAUGGAAAAGACACACGGAAGGCGCCGAAGAAUGUCUGUCGGAAGAAAGGGGAAGUGAAGAAUUGAGAAAGUAGAAAACGUGCUUUUGUGAUUCGAAUGGCCUUGGAUAGAAAGAAAAGGAAAGAAUAUCGACCUUUUUCUCAUAAAAUCGUAGAUUUCUAUUCUACUUAAAUUCGACAAUGCGUUUUGAUUUUUACGAUUUAUAAAUAAAUGGAGAAAGAGAGAGAGAGAGAGAGAGAGAAAAGAUAGGAAUUGUCAAUGAAAGAAAAAAAAAAUAAAACAAAAAGAGAAAGAAAAAAUUAGGUAUACUUGAUUUAUAAACGUUUAAUAAAACAAAAAUUAAAAUCUCGAAAUAUUUUCGAUGCGAUAUGAAAGAAAAAAAUUAACGAGGUAAAAAAUUGCGUACGAUCAAAUAAAUGAAUUUCAAUGAAAAAUCCUUUUCGACGUCGCGUUGCGUUGCGUUGCGUUGCAUUGCAUUGCAUCGCGUUGCAUUGCAUUGCAUCGCGUUGCAUUGCAUCGCAUCGUAUUCAUGAUAAAAGAGAGGGAAGAUUUUCGACGAAGCUAAUUUAGCGUAAAUUAGAACGGGUCGUUAUCGACGCUCGUGCUUUUCGAUUUGCAAAACGUGAACGUUUCCCAUGAAUCAGUCCCAUUCCAAUCGGAUUUUCAGCACUUGUCGAUUUCUCGCAACGUCGAUGACAGUAUUCAAAAGCAAUCUAUCUGUGGGUCGUUGAAGAGUAUCAGAGAGAGAGAGAGAGAGAGAGAGAGAGAGAGAGAGAGAGAGAGAGAGAGAUAGCCAAAUAGGAUGAUGGGGGUCGGAGCAACGUGCUAUACUGCUACCGAAACGGCGACAAAUUGUGAUUAGUCGGCAACCCUUCUCGCCUAGCAAUCCAUUAGCGAGGUGCAUACCAAACGACGGUAGUCAUUCUGUCUAUAUAUCUAUAUAUAUUUCUCUAGUUCUCUAGAUCUCUACCUUUCUCUCUCUCUCUCUCUUUUCCUUCCUUCCUUCCUUCAUCACUGUCUAUCUCUUUCACAUUCUCCCUUUCCCUCUUUUUUCCCUUCAAGAAAUAGCCGACAGAGUCAUCUUAGGGAAUCUUCAAAUCUUCUGAUUAAAAUUUGUGAAAUUGCUGUGGAUCUCUGUGCAUGAUUUUAGACUUUCUAAAAGGAAGAAGAAAAAGAAGCAGAAGAAGGAGGAGGAGGAGGAGGAGUAUAGAAAACAGUCAAAAAAUAGAGAGCCCUCGUAAGAUUUUUCUUACUGAAAGAGAUGAGCUCGGUGAAACUCGGUUGGAAAAAAAGUAAGUAGAAGGCGAAGAAGAAAAUAACGAGAUAAGACAAAAGAGUAGGUAAUGGUACACCGUGUCAAGAGACGACCAUUGGUAUAUAGAAGAGGGAGGAGAAGAAAGGAGGAGGGAAGGGAAAAAAGCUAAGAGAUCAUGGAAAGGUAUAUAGAUACCUUCAUUCUUAAAGUUUUUCACGUGACAAGGUAUAUAUUAAUGUAUAUUGUUGGUGUCUAUAUAUAUAUAUAUAUAUACACCUACCUAUCUACCCAUCUACAAUCCAUGUGACCCCGUAGCGAGGAUGAGAUUAUGGGUGGAAAAUGCAUGCAAGGAACAAAAGUGUUUUACUCGGACGAGCAACCACGAUGAUUAAUGAGAUCUUGCGUGUCUUGUGGUUAUCGCUUUUCCGUCUCGUUAGAUGGUGAGAUAUUAACCCCUGUUACGAGUCUAUUGGGGGUCUAUCAAGCUCGGUUAAAUACAUUACGGAUGUAUGCUUUAACGUAAAUGAAAUUGUUAUUAAUGUGCGGAACGACAAUUUUUUAGUUGUAAUUUUAGUCGUUUUCCUUUUUUUUUCCUCCCUUCGAAUUGGAUUUAAAUACAAAUUUUUAGUUUCGUUUUUGAUUUUUCUGGUUUUUUUUUCCCCUUUCUUUCUUUCUUUCUUGUUUUCUUUUUUUUUUUUUUUUUUUUUUACCGAUUCCCGAUUGGCUGACUCUCAUUCGCAAUCGAUAUUUAAAGAGAGAAAGAAAGAGAGAGAGAGAGAGAGGCAGACACACACAGACACUUGCGGAGUGAAUUUGAAAAGUUAGUAGGUACGUUUAAAUUCAAUGUGGAUAUACCAAUAUUCCAUAUCGUCUGGCACUUUGAAAAGAAUAUAGAAAGAAUAAAAGUCGUUCGGUUGCUCUUGCCAUUUUAGAAUACUACGCACUGUCUGCAGGUGAUGCAGGCAAUAUCCUUUUUCGAAGGAUAAAACCGUCGACGGUUUUGAGGAUACCCGUUACUUUUCGUUUCUUUCUAUCUAACUCUAAGAAGGAAGUUAGAGAUAGAGAGAUAGAGAGAUGGAGAGAUAGAGAGAUAGAGGAGCUAGCUAGCUAGCUAGCUAGCUAGCUAGCUAUACACAUCCGAUGUUAUUUUCUGAAUAUGUAGAACAGUUCCGACUGUAUGUCGAGGCAACUGGCCAAAUAUUCAUGCGACCUCAUAUCGUGGAAUGCAAACGUACGAAUCGUUUAUAUAUAUAUAUAUAUAUAUAUAUAUAUAUAUAUAUAUAUAUAUCUUCUCCCCCUAUUCCUAUCCCUGUGUCCCUUUCCUCUUUCAUCCUACGUCCAUUUUACUAUCCUUUCUCCCUCUCUCUUUGACGAUAACGUAAACCGGAUUAUGCAUCAAUGUAUACUAGUCGAUGGAUCUCUCCCAACGUACGAGGCAUUCGAUAUGCGAAGUAGGAUAAGGUGAAGUAUGAAAAGGUGAAGAGGCUUGUGCCUGAUCCACUACGACGCAUUUCUCGUUCGAAAGAGAGAAAAAGAAAGAAAGAGAGGUAAAAGAAGGAAAAAAAAAGGAAAAAAGGAAAAGGAAGGAAGGAAGGAAGGAAGAACUUUAGUACCCUCACUCCUUUCAACGAUGAUAUGUCUAUAUAUAUAUAUAUAUGUGUUUAGGUGUAUAUAUGUGUCUCACAAGACGCACAAAAAGGGAUAAAGUAAGGGUGUGCAAAAGUAUCCAAAGUAAAAAUACAAUUCUAAGCCGACAAGGGAUUCCGUAAGUCCGUAAUAUGGUGAAACGCGACGAUUUUCCUCGAAUGCGAAGACAUUUUUCGAGUUUACACACUGUCUGAAAUACAUAUCUUUUCUACCAAGGAGAGUGUACUCUCCUGUUUUUCCUGGAAUGCGAACGCUACUAAAGAAACGAAUCAAACGACAUUACUACACACUGCAACAAUUCCCAUUGCGAUAUAUAUAUAUAUGUAUACAAAUUUAUUAUACAUGUGUAUGGAUAUAUAUAUUUAUUUAUUUAUUUAUUUAUUUAUUUACUACGUAUGCAUGAACAUGGAUGUAUGAACUCGUUUAAUAUUUAUAACGAAGCAGAAUAGGUGUAAUGACAGUAAGCUCGAGUGAGUACGGGUUUGCCAAUCAGCUAAUGGAAGUGGUGCGCUUGUCAUAAAUGCACAUUGCCAAAAAGUUCUCCAUAUGAAAUUAGUCCGCGUUGGAUAGCUUUGCUAACGGGAAGUAAUAACAUAAAUCCCAUGCGAUAUUAAUAUAAAUGAAUUGCAAAAGGAAAUAAUAAAGAGAACUUACGUAUCUGAUCUUUUUCUUUUGUUUCAUUUUUUUUUGUUGUUUUUUGUUUUUUUCUUGUAAUUUUUUCUUCCACUUCCAUAGAGAUAUUCGUUUGCGGUCGAUCUUCUCUUUUCUUUUUUUCUUUUUUCUUUUUUAAAUAAUCGAUCAUCUUGAUUAUUACGCGUCGUGUAAUCAUUUAUUCGAACGUGUUUCGAAUAGAUUGGUUAUCCAAACAAUGGCGAACGUGAAAGAGAACGGAGGAUAUAUAGACUGAAAAAAAAAAAAAAAAAAAAAAAAAAAAGAAAAAAAAGAACGCAAGAAAUAUACGAAAUAACGAAAGACAAGUGACCUAUCUUAGAAGCUUGUUUGUUCUUAGUUAGAUAUAUCAGGACACUUUUGAACACUUCUCAUAGACAUCCCCGUGAUAUUUUUAUAACCUUCGUGAUUUAACGUUAAAAAAAUGAUAAAUAUAUAUAUAUAUAUGUGUUUAAAAAUUUGAUCACGAAGAAAUAUAGGGUGAGAUUAAUACGAGUUAGCAUAAAAAAAUAUUGCAAAAACCUUUGGAAAAAUUUAAAUGGAAAUUGAUAAUAUUUAACGAAAAUUUGCAAUGACGAACUACAGAAAUAAAAUGGUUUCGUUUCGUGGCUGCUCACUCGGUUCGUGUUCCGUUAAGUGGGUGGGGCUCCACAGCUCUAUCGCUUUCUCUCUCUCUCUCUCUCUCUCUCUCUCUCUCUCUCUCUCUCUCUCUUUCACACACAUACACACUUUCGUCUGGAGCUCUGCCGAUCGAUAAACAGUCCGAAUCAAAAUUCUCGAGGAAGACCUUAGCAGCGAUGAUGAAAUAUCGUCUAUCCUCAUAAAAGAUCCUAACGAAACUCGAAAACUAGUUUGUUGUAUAUAUAUAUAUCUAUAUGUGUGUGUGUGUGUAUAUAUAUAUAUAUAUAUAUAUAUAUAGAGAUAAAAUUUCCUGGCUGGCAGUAGAUGAAAGAGAAUUUACGAUAGGGGAUAAUAUAACUUGUUCUUUUAUACCUCAUAUUUUUUGAUCCAUCUCAAAGACACAGAACAAAGAUAAAAAGAAAGAAAAAAAGAAAGAAAGAAUGAAAGAAAGAGAAUGAAGGAGAAAAAUCGAUAUUUUUUAAACAUUAUCUUUAUCGUAUCGUAAUUAGAUCCAUUUCUUAUAUUCUCUUCUCUUUGGAAUUUAACCUACGAUAAUGAUUUUAUAGUGUUAUAUGAAGGGGGAGAAGGGAAUGGAUGAGUAUAUAUAGAUGAGUGGUCAAUUGGAAAUUUGCUUAGCUUGUAAAUUAAGAGGCGACGUGAUGAUGAGUGAAUUUGGAAGAAAAAUAGAUUAAUAUUGUAUUACGAAUGGGGAAUAAGUAUCGCGAGAGAAAAGAUGAAAAGACAUUUUUAUGUAAAUAAAAUGGGAGAAAAAGAGAGAGAAAAAGAGAGAGACAGAAUAAGAGAAACUUUACAGUGAUGCAAUGUCACACUUUAGAAACUAACGUUUCAUCCUUAAAAAAUUCUGUCUUCUUUUAUAAUGGAAAAGGAAAACGAUAUUAUUUUUAUUUUUCUCCGGCAAACAUUUGAUAAAUUUUAUCUCUGUCUUUCUCUGUCUCUCUCUCUCUCUCUUUAUUUCUCUUUAUCUUUUUCUUGCUCUUUGCCUGUCUUGUACAAGAUUAAAAUUGAUCGCGUUUAUUAUUUUCUCCAGGGAACCACUUCAUUUUAAAUAUAAUGAUUUUACUUCAGAACGACGACAUUUUAUUUAGUGAAAAAUUAUCGUCAAAAUAAAUAUUAAAAAAGAUGUAUGACAAAGCAAUUAAAAUAAAAAAAUAUAUACGUGGUA